CUGUCGCAACAGGACCAGUUCAGGAAGAAGUUUUUCCAAGAGAGAAGAGGCAGAGAGAGUGGAUUGUGCACGUGAAGCCAGAGGGUUGUUUUUUUCCGGAAGAGGAGGAGAUGAGGUGGAGAGAGUAGAUUGUGCGCGUGAAACAAAAUCAAGCAGUCAAAGAAGAAACAGAGCAGCAACGCUCAAGCAAAAAUAAGAUUGGAGUGAACUGUAACAAUGGGACCGGUUCAGGAAGAAGUUUACAUUUUUCUGAGAGAGUGGAUUGUGCACGUGAAGCCAGAGGGUUAUUUUUUUCCGGAAGAGGAGACAAGAUGGAGAGUGGAUUGUGCGUGUGAAACAAAAUCAAGCAGUCAAAGAAGAAAUGGAGCAGCAAUGCUCAAGCAAAAAGGAGAAGAUUGGAGCAAAUGAUGACUGGAACUAAGAUGAGAAGCAAUCCUGCCGUCACUCCAACACCAAUGUAGGGAGCCAGAGAUGCUGAGAGAAACCAUCAAGCUUUUGAAAUAUUAAACCGCAGAACACAAAAACAGAGCUAGUUUAUUUUACUAUACCUUUCACAACAAUGACCAAGGGUUCAGUGGCAGUGGAGGUAAAGAUGCGUGUAGACACGUUCACUUCAUAAG